AAUAUAUUCACAGCUAGAUCAGCUUCUAUCAGGGAGUAAUUUUAAGUUCACAAGUUUAUGGAUUCAAUUCAAGAGAUGGAAGUCACACUUGGAAAAGCUAUAAGAUUGGGACGAUAUUCAAUAUGCAAAGCGAUGUUAUAUCCUCCUUGGAAGGCAUUGGGGGCAUAACUUCAGGCCGAGGGCAACCACGAUUCAUCAAUAACUAACAAAGGCAGGAAGAAGAUAGUUUUCUCAACAUGAAACAAGCAAUGUUCUGAGGGCUCUAAGGACAGCUUCACCAUUCUUUCACCAACUAACCAAUCCAUAUUUGUUCCAAGUCUGGUUUACCACAAUCCCAGGUUUGUUUUACGUCUUCGAAUAUUAUUCAAUUUUUAUAAAAAUAUUUACUUAUAAUAGUAUGGUAGGACCUGUAGUAAUUUGAGAUUAUUUUACAUCUCUAAAGAUGGUUUUUCUUCUUCUUUUCUUUUCAAUUAAAGCUUCA